UGAAGCUCAAACAGGCAUGAACAGACACGGAGACAGUCUGUCAGAGCAGGUAGAGGCUGGAGCUAAUCCAAUAAGUUGGAAGUUGGCGAAUGGGAGGGCUGCUAGAUAGGAAGCAAAACAAGAGACCCAAGGGGAGACAGUUCAAUAUAUUCUGUAGUAUCCGGAAGAAGUCUUCAGAAGAGUCAUCUUGAGUGAUAAUGUCAGCGGCUGCGGCAUGCUGUUUAUUUUUGCAAUAAAUCCUCCUUUUUAAUUACCUACACUUACUGUGUUAUCAAGCUGGGAACCUGGACUCCUGACACAGUUGCUGGAAGCCACAGGAGGGGAGAGUGCUGUUGUGCUCAGGUUUUGCCAAAGGGUUUCUUACUACCAUCUGGUUGGCCACUGUGAGAACUGGAUGCUGGACUAGGUGGGACACUGCCCUGAUUCAGUAGCCUCCUCUUAUGUUGUUUUCCAGGAAGAGAACAUGUGCAUUGACAAAGGGGGGAAUUUGGGAGGUGCACAAUGUUGUUGCGGGUGCCUUUCCUCCUCCCCAAAUGAACGCCCCACUCCAAGUGGGAGAAAACCAGAGCAUGCACCACUCUGGUGAGACAGUGCGCAGGCAGGUAGGGUCUCAGCCUGCGUACCAGAUGGAGCUGGUAGACAGCUGCCCUGGACACAGAAUUGACCUGCGCCUCCAUGGACAGCUGUGAGUCCAAAAUGACUCCCAGGCUGCGCACCUGGUCCUUCAGGGGCACAGUUACCCCAUUCAGGACCAGGGAGUCCUCCACACCCGCAGCUGCCCUCUGUCCUCCCAAAACAGAAUAGGCACUGCGUAGAUAGUAAGAAUGUUGCCAGAAAGGAACGUUUCUGGACUCCUGAACUUCAAAAUACCAGCACACAAGUUGUUUACAAGAUGUUAACUAUGACGAUAAUGGGCAACAGAUGGAGAAAGAACAUCCUGCAUAUAAUUUGAUGUUAGACAUAUAGGAAGAUUAUUGGUUGAACACGUGGCAGAAAGUUUGGCAGGAGCAAUGGCAAAUUGUGGCUGGCCCCACAUGUGGAGAAGGAAAUUAAGCUUUAAGGUACACAUUACAGAGAGGAAAGGGAAGCUUUGGAUUUCUAAAACCAAGAGACGUGGAGAGGUCUGGGGCGCCAUUUAGGGAGGGUAACAGGGGCCGCUCUCUCCUGCAUGUGAUUAUUUCUCUACAGCACCUAUUAUCUCAGUCCAUUUUGAAUUAUGGUGCUGGAGGAGACUCUUGAGAGUCCCAUGGACUGCAAGAAGAUCAAGCCUAUCCAUUCUGAAGGAAAUCAGCCCUGAGUGCUCACUGGAAGGACAGAUCCUGAAGCUGAGGCUCCAAUACUUUGGCCACCUCAUGAGAAGAGAAGACACCCUGGAAAAGCCCCUGAAGUUGGGAAAGAUGGAGGGCACAAGGAGAAGGGGACGACAGAGGAUGAGAUGGUUGGACAGUGUUCUCGAAGCUACGAACAUGAGUUUGACCAAACUGCGGGAGGCAGUGGAAGACAGGAGUGCCUGGCGUGCUCUGGUCCAUGGAGUCACGAAGAGUCGGACAUGAGUAAACAACUAAACAACAACAACAUCUCAGUCCAACUCUCUAGAGGAACAGCUGCGCUUGGAACAGUGAUUCCUGAAGUCUAAACAAAACUGCAAAAUUCUAUGAGGGUAACAUUGAAUGCAUGGUACGAAACCUACUUGGUGUCUGCAGUAUGUUGAUGCAUGGGCAACAAUAGGUUAUCUGUCAUGUUAGGUUCUGAUGCUCUCUGCAAUUCCCUUAUUUUCAUUUUGCAGUCAGAUGAAACUCCCCAAUAUAGGUUUGGAUAUGCCCCUUCGCACCUGUGUGCUGAGGGAGAUCACUCAACAUCAUUUAAAAAAAAAACAGAUGCAAGGAACCCAGAUUGAAAGAGGGCCAUCAUGGUAUUGGGAGAAGGAAACUUUAGGCUUUCCACUGCCUAAAGCCCCUGCCUCCCUCUACUAGCGAAACAACAUGGAGAAAGGGUUAACUCCCUCCUCCACCAGCGCCCCUCUGGUACAGCAGCUUUUGAACCUGAAAAAAUACUUUGCAAGUUCAGUGUUGCUUACAUUGACUAGCUGGUUUUCACAUGGGGGACGAUCCUGGUCCUACCUGGAGAUGCUGGGGAUUGAACCUGACAUUUUCUGCAUGCAAAACAGGUAUCAGGACAGGAGUAGGCAGGAAAGGUGACAACAAUCAUGAAUCUACCAAAAUAGAUAGAUACUGGCUUAAUCUAGGUUGAUAUUGUUGUUGUGAGGUAUCUGAAAAAGAUCACAACCAGUUCUUAAAAAACAAAUUACUUUUUAAAAGCAAUUUAAUUCUUUGAUACUGUAUAUCCAGUGGAUGGGCCUGUGAAUCUGCCCCCUGCACAGGAAAUAGCUUUGCUGUCCCCUCCACCCACCAACCAAACCCUGAUAUGGCAUCUUGAGGUAGUUGGUGGACAGGAUUUUGAGAAGCAAUAGAGAUAUAUAGGCCCAGCCCUGAAGUGUUCAGGUCCUGAGUACAUUGGAAAACAUAAUAUAUAAUUGCACACACAAGUCUGUGAAUUACGGAAGUUCCUCGUAUGGCCCUAUGACUGAGUGCCGUUUAGCCCAUUUUGGUCAAGUGACUUUUAUUUCUCCGUGGAAAAUGCAAUAACAGCAAUACUCAAUGGAAACAGUUAUUGUGGAAAGUGGUUUUAAAUGGCCUUCAGGUGGACAUCUUAUGACGUGUUGUGCAAUCUCAAAAGAUAAAGACUGGGUUCUCAAACUGGGGUGGGGGCAUAUGGCAGCUAUAGGAGGUUGUGAGAAUUACAUUCUAGAGAAAGAAAGUGUCCUGUGGCAGACAGUGCUUUCAUUCUACUGAGAAACUGCUUGGUUCUUAAAGCCAGGGCCGGCCCACAGGCAAGGCAAGGUGAGGCAGCUGCCUCAGGCAUCAGGUCCACAGGGGCAGCAGAUCCAGAUGUAGCUAUUUACUCCCCGCUUGUUCCUGAUGUAGGUCUUCACUGACUCCUUCUACCCUGGCAGGGAGGCGGGUGCCAUUUUGCGGUUUGCCUCAGGUGUCGAAAUGUCUUAGGCCAGCUCCGCUUAAAAUUAUAUUGACAAAUAGUUCAUGACAAGUUAAACUCCUUCUGUUUAUUAAGACUUCAAGUGGGAGGCUGCAGAACUGAAUGCUCUCCUGUAUGUAUGUAUGUAUGUAUGUAUGUAUGUAUGUAUAUAUGCAGGCAUGAAUGUGUGUGAGAGUGUGUGUAUGAGUGUGCAUAUAUGUAUAAUAAAAACAGCACCUUUCUGUGCAUAGAAAACUAGAUGCUUGUCACAUAGUUUGGUGUUGCAUAUAGGGAAAAAUGAAUUUGCCAAUUUAGUCUCUCUCAGAAAAAGUACAAAUGGGGGCCUCCGUAAAGUAGGACAUGUGGAUCUUGGUCCAUUUAACGUUGGCUCCCAAAGUCAGAUUUUUUUUUCACUUGUGCAAAUAUUUCUGAGCUAUGGGGCUCAUGCGAAUUUCAGGCUUCUUGUCCUGCCCAACUGUUUUUCACGUUUUCAUCUACUCAUUAUAACCACAGCAAGAGGAGGAAGACACAGAACAUUCCUGAUGUCUUUCCAGCAGUCUAGUGGAAAGACGUUCCUGGGUGUCUUCUUGGAAUUUAUCUGUGAGUGGAAACAUCAUCAGUGGCAUCUCACCACAAUACAAAGGAAGUCUGAACACCUCCCAGAAAUAAACCUAUGAUUUCAUUGGGACAGCCUUACUGACCCAUGGCCACAAGGUAAACAUUGCGUCUCAAACACUCACCGGAACUUAUGGUUACAGGGCAUUGAAAACAUUUUUUUCAGUAGAUUUCACAAUAAUAAUAAAAAAGGACAUCUUCAUUUAGUUUACAUAGCUGGAAUUCUUAUUGUCCAAGCAUAUGAGAGACUGCUUUCAUACUGCAUUGAUCCAAUUCAUUGGACAUGACCCAGCUAACUUUUGGGGGACUUCCAAUGCAAGCCUGACCAAGUUCAAUGGAGCUUACUCCUUGGUAAGCAAGCCUAGGAUUGCAGUCCGAAAAACAUGCUUACAUAUCUCUCAAUAAACCAUAAUGAAAGAAACCUUCUACCGGAUAGCUGAGUUGGUCUGCUGCAACAAAAAUAGCACCCUAAAGCAUGUGGAAGAUUUCAGGCCUGGAGACAGAAUGUAGCUCUCCUGGGAAUGAGUUCUAGUUCAUUAAAGCUGUGUUGAAGUAAAGCAACAUUUUUUUCUAUUAGUCUCUAAAAUGCCACAUGACUUCUUGUUGCCGCUGUUAACCACUCAUGAAUCACCAACCAAAAAUGGCUCUUUCAUUUGUCUGUUUGUAUAUAGGAACCUGCUUUUACACCAUGGCAGACUGUUUUGGCCACCCAGCUGGGAUGUAUUAAAAUGUUGGUGGUUUAUAAAUAUUUUUUAAAAUAACAAUAGAAAAAAAUGAAAGACUAGUAUUCGUGAUAUUUUGGAUAUUGAUGCAGGCUGGAACUAGAUGUAAAGUAAUGCCAUCGUGUUCUGCAUUUCUCUGCCACACUGUUGGUUGCUGUUGGAGAGGAGGGUUGGGCACUAUAUCAUGUGUUUCCUUACGUGCACAUUCAGGAAGAGCAGAGCGUAAAUACAGGGCUGCCAUUUUGGUUGCCAGCCCUGUGAGCAGUGUCAGCGCCCAGUUCUAGCUAUAGCUGCGGGUUCCUUUCUAUGGGAUAAGCUGUAGGUAUUUUUUUAUUUUUUUUUACUGAUAAAUUUUUAUUGGUAUUAUACAUAUAUACAUAUAAACUUAUACAAAGUCCAAUACUUAAAUUACACAUAAUAUAUUCAUUCCAUAAAUCAUAAAUACAUUUAUUUUAGGCUCUGCCAAGCCUUGAACUUCCUUCCACUCCUUUGGUAAGUAUCAAAUAGACUUUAUAUUCACGUAUUUUAUCUCUUUUACAUAAUAACCUUUUACUGUUAGAGUUAUUCCAAUCCCGCCAGUGUCAUUUAAAGUUUGGCCCCAAUAUAUGUCCAAUAUUUAAUCCAAUUGUCAUGAAAUUUCUGUUCAUCUUGAUCUCUUAUUCUUCCUGUUAUUCUAGCGAGCUCGGCAUAAUUUGUUAAUUUAAUCUGCCAAUCACUUAUAUUAGGUAUGGCGUCCGUUUUCCAAUUUUGUGCUAACAUGAUUCUUGCGGCUGUUGUGGCAUAUAAAAAUAGUACCUUAUCUUCUUUUUAAAUUUCUUUACCUGUAAUUCCUAGCAGAAAGGCUUCAGGUUUUUUGGGAAACGUGUAUUUAAAUUUUUUUUUAAGCUCAUUAUAAAUCGAUUCCCAAAAGCCUUUCACUUUGCUGCAUAACCACCACAUACGGUAGAAGUCACCAUCUACUUCUCCACAUUUCCAACAUCUUUUGUUCUUUAGCCUAUAGAUCUUAGUCAGUUUCACUGGUGUGAGGUACCACCUAAAUAUCAUUUUCCACAUAUUUUCCCUUAAUGCCAUACAUGCCGUGAACUUCAUGUUAAUAUUCCAUAAUUCUAGCCAUCUCUCAAAAUCGAUGUUAUAGCCAAUGUCUAUAGGCUGUAGGUAUUUUUUACGGACAUCCUUGUCAUUUUGUGCCUCAGGGUUCGGCCAUCGCUUGGUUACUUUCACAAACUUUUAAAAAGAAUCUUCUGUCACCCUUCAAAAAGUAAAGUGAAAAUAAAACCCCAACAACACGUCAUGGUGUGUCUAUGCUUUCCAACCCUGAGGUGAGCCUUGCUUGUUGUCUUUUCCUAGGCUGAGGCUGGGCUACACUGGAACAUUUGGAUAAAUGCCUCCCAGCUAUGUCUGGAAAGUGCCCUUCGCAUGUUCGUUCUGUAUCACUUUACGCCGCAUUGUGUGACAGACAUUUCUCCAAGCAAUGCUUGUGCUGUGAGGUCAUUCAUAAUUAUUAAUCAAUAUUUGAAGGAGGUGCUUUUCUUGUCUCUAGCAACCUCAGAAUGUACCUUUCACCACACCAGUACAGUGGUACCUCAGGUUACAUACGCUUCAGGUUACAUAUGCUUCAGGUUACAGACUCCGCUAACCCAGAAAUAGUACCUCAGGUAAAGAACUUUGCUUCAGGAUGAGAACAGAAAUCGUGCUCUGGCGACAUGGCGGCAGCAGGAGGCCCCAUUAGCUAAAGUGGUGCUUCAGGUUAAGAACAGUUUCAGGUUAAGAACGGACCUCCGGAACGAAUUAAGUACUUAACCCGAGGUACCACUGUAUUUCCUUGCUCUGCCAGAGUUGCUAAUAUGUCUCUGCUGUGAUUUUAUUUUUAUUCUUUUUUGUAACACAUUUUCGUGAGGAGGAAGGAGCUGUGAUGCUUCACUUUGCACCAUGCCAGCUGACGGUACCUCUGGCACAGAUCUCUACAUGAGUUGACCUGCACAACCAAGACUCCAGCUCCUGUAAAAGCCUACACAGUGUGCAUAGACAAGUGUGCUCAUAGGCUGUCUCAGUUAAGAUACCUGUGCACAACAACAUAGAACAACAAUAAUAACAAUAUAGAAUAAUAAUAUGGAAAUGGAUGAAUUCCUCCAGAACACACUCUGCUUUUGAAAUCUGCAGCCUUUUAAACCAGAUACAGUUUCAAAAGUACUUAAUUCGUUCUGGAGGUCCGUUCUUAACCUGAAACUGUUCUCAACCUGAGGUACCACUUUAGCUAAUGGGGCCUCCUGUUGCUGCCACGCCGCUGCCAUGGAAUUUCUGUUCUCAUCCUGAAGCAAAGUUCUUAACCUGAAGUACUAUUUCUGGGUUAACGGAGUCUGUGACCUGAAGCAUCUGUAACCUGAAGCGUCUGUAACCCGAGGUACCACUGUAAUUCAGAGUCAAACAUGCAGUCUCUUCCUGAUGCUAAUUGUGGUUAAGCGAUUUCUACCUGUGCCAAGCCAAGAUGCCCACAAACUGCACAGACAAGCGAAACCACCAGUGGGUGAGGCACUGAUUAGGAGCCACAUGACAAUGGCUUGCCUCGGUUUCUGUUUGCAGCGUCUGCUUCCUACCCCCAUGAUAAGAAAGUGCAUGGAACCGCUUCCCAGAUGCAAACUGUGGUUCCUGUGUGUAUGUCUGCUUGCAGGCCCUUGUAAACAUACCCUAAUCUUGCCUGCCCACUCCUGCCUCAAAGGCAGGACUUUCGGUAAGGGCAAUGGCAAUUAAAAAACCCUACAUGUCUCGAAUACAAUUACACGGUUAGCUUCUUUUUAUUUAUUCGAUGUGUCUGUGUUGGCUUCUUGCUCUGGGGAGAGGAGGCGGGGGUGCUCAUUGUGACAGUAAAUUGUUGCAAUAAAAACAAGAAAAAUGAAGCCCCAGACCUAAGUAUGAUGUAACACAAGGCUUCAUUGUUCUUGGACUUUGUUUUCCCACAUGUGCACAUUUAUGAAGGUCGUGCCCUUUGCUAUCAUCCCCGGCAGAAGUCAAAACACUUGGCUUUCUAAGUUGUAAAACUUGAGGGUUGGCUCAAGACAUUGAGCCAUUUGGAGCAGUUGCAGCCUCACACAACUUUGGAGGUGGGUUCUUCUUCUUCUUCUUCUUCUUCUUCUUCUUCUUCUUCUUCUUCUUCUUCUGUUUUAUAGACUACUCAUCAUCAUGUCAGAAACAUGAGGGUUGGUUUCCAACAUAUAAAAUAAAUUGAUUACAGUGUAGUUGUUAGGGCAGAGAAUGGGAAUCUGCUACCUUAAAGAUGUUGCUUGAUCAUUGGCCAUCAUGAGGCUGAUGGGAUUGGAAUAUAUAAAAAUCUGGAGAUUUCCGAGUGUUGGACUGGGAUUGGGAAAACCAAGGUUCAAAUCCUCACUGAGCUAUGAAACCAAGAAAAGACACAUCAUCCUCAUCCACAAAAUUUACUAUCUACAUGCCCUGCCAUCUGACUGGGUUCCCCCAGUCGCUCUGGACAGCUUCCAACAAAUUAAAACACAAUACGACAUCAAACAUUGAAAACUUCCUUAAACAGGGCUGCCUUCAGAUGUCUUCUAAGUCAGAUUUAUUUGACUUCAUCUGAUGGGAGGGCAUUCCACAGGGCGGGUGUUAUGUACUGAGUUGAAUAGGAUCCAAACUGCAGCAGUCUGAUUGGUCCUAGAACAAUAGGAUCCAAAAGGCAGCAGUCUGAUUGGUCCUAGAACAAUAGGAUUCAGAAUGCAGCAGUCUGAUUGGUCCUAGAACAAUGCAGCAGUAUGAUUGGUUGGCAGGAACCACCCAAUCCUGCUCCAGAUAGAAGUGAAUCCACAACCUGAUUGGCUUACAGUAGAAUUCCAGAAUUAGCCAAUCAUGUGCAGCCCAUUGUGUAAAUAAUGUAUAUAAAGCAGAUACUGUGAGGGGACAUUCAUUCAUUCCUCCUCACCACUAUGAGCUGAAUAAAGAGCAUGAAAUCACUUUGCGACUCUGAGUAUAUUUCACUGGCGACGAGGAUGGGAUCCCGCUGAGCUGACUGCCACACACAGCACCGCAGCACCGCCAACUGCCGCACCGCUGCCUCGCACCGUGUAUCCAGGCUUCAGCUCCGGGACACAAGGAACUCAGAAUGGCAACCGACAGCAGCUUCUCGCCAUUCAACCCAGCAUCUGGAGACUGGGAAGCGUACGCCUCCCGUUUCACCUUCCUCCUAGAAGCCAAAGGGGUCACCGACGAAGAAGACGCCAAGAAGAGGGCGAUAUUCUUCAGCGUCUGCGGAGAGGAGACGUUUGAAAUCGCCCGGGCUCUCCUUGCGCCUGAAGACGUCGCUACUGUUCCAUACAAAACAAUAAUGGAACAGCUGAAGGGGCACAUUUCGCCGCAGCCCUCAGUGGUGGCUCGUCGAAAUGCCUUCUACGCAAAGCGGCAAGCCCCUGGGGAAACCAUAACUGGGUUUGUGACCUCUCUCCGCCAAGCCGCCCGGUUCUGCAACUUCUCAGAGCUGGAGAACAUGCUUCGUGACCGCCUCGUCGGUGGCCUGAAGGAUGAGAAGCUGCAACGACGCCUCUACGCUAAGAAGGACCUAACGUUCCAGGUCGCUCUGGAGGAGGCCCUGGCAACAGAAGCUGCCGAGAGGUCGACCCAAGAGGCACGGCCGAGCCUGCCAUCCCAACCGAGGGUCCACCACGAAGACCUCACCGACGACUCAGGAUCCGACAGGGAGGAGGUGCACCGAGUACAGCAGCGCACUCAAGCAGCGCACAGACCACAGCUGCCUCGACGAGAAGGAGGGAACUGCGCAAGCUGCGGGGAGAGUCACGAGAGGAGGACCUGCCGUUUCCGCAACGCAGAGUGCAGGCAGUGCAGGAAAUCGGGACACAUCGCCCGGGUGUGUCGGGCUCGGCCCACCCGACACCAGGCAUCAGAUGACCAAUCCAAGAGCCCCAGGUCCCGGGGCCCAACGCACCAAGGCAACUCGACGGAGCUCACGGACUUCCAGGUAUACCAGUUGCCCCACCCCAACGUAGAGAAAAUUUAUGUAGAGGUACAGAUAGAGGGGCCCCAUGCCGCAUGGAGCUUGACACGGGUUCAACUCUAUCCAUAAUCUCGGCAAGGACCUUAAGGAAACUGUGUCCGACUGGGGGUCCCAAACUCAGGCCGGCCCCAUUCACCCUCCGGGACUUCCAGAAACGUAAGGUCCCCACAAUGGGGGUGGGGACCUUCAGGGUGCAAUACCGAGGGCGGACGCGGCAACUGGACUUGCUUGUGGUCAAGGGCCCCUACAUUAGCUUACUGGGAUUGGCAUGGUUUGGACCACUGGGGCUAGCUGUCACCGGGGUGAACCACACUAGCUUACAAGUGGACGUGGACGCCAUAUGCAAGGAAUUUCCAGGGGUUUUCGAUGGGAAAUUGGGACAGUAUACGGGCCCCCAUUGCGCUACAGCUUGACCCCGCAGUACGACCGGUCAGGCUCAAGGCCCGCCGGGUCCCGUUCGCCUUGAAACCCCGUAUAGACGAGGAAUUGGACCGACUCGUGGAGCAAGGAGUGCUGGAGCCGGUGCCUAAUGCCCCCUGGGAAACCCCAAUCGUCACACCCGUCAAGCCUAAUGGUUCGGUCCGCAUCUGCGCAGACUACAAAUGUACCAUAAACAAGGCCCUCACGGCCCACGCAUACCCAGUGCCAGUGGUCAGCCAUGUCCUAGCCACCCUGGCUGGGUCGAAAUAUUUAGGCAAGCUGGACUUGGCCCAAGCAUAUCAACAGCUGCCAGUAGAUGAGGCCACAGCAGAGGCACAGACGAUUGUGACGCACAGAGGAGCGUUCAGGGUAAAGCGGCUGCAAUUCGGUGUCAGCGUGGCACCAGGCAUAUUCCAGAAUCUAAUGGACUCUCUCCUUAAAGGGAUUCCUGGCGUCACCCCUUCUUCGAUGAUGUGUUGAUUGCCGGGCCCACACCAGAGGAGUUUGAGGACCGCCUCCGCACCGUUCUGCACCGUUUCCAGACGGCGGGUCUCAAGGUGAAGCGGGAAAAAUGUCUACUAGGAGUGCCUCAGGUGGACUUUCUGGGAUUUAUGGUGGACGCAGAAGGGGUCCACCCGACUGGGGACAAGGUACGGGCCAUUUGUGAUGCCCCAGCGCCCAAGAGCAAGACUGAACUUCAGGCCUUCUUGGGACUAUUGAACUUUACCAUUCCUUCCUUCCCCACAAGGCGGCGGUAGCGGAGCCCCUACACAGACUCCUGGACAAGCGGGCCCCUUGGGUGUGGGGCCAGCGCCAGGAGGCCGCAUUCCAGGCAGUCAAGGACUUGCUUGUCUCAAACUCGGUCUUGGCACACUUCGACGAGAGGCUGCCGGUGGUGCUAGCAUGCGACGCCUCACCCUAUGGCAUUGGAGCUGUCCUGGGGCACCAACUCCCGGAUGGAAGAGAGGUACCGGUGGCGUACUUUUCCCAGACACUCAACACAACCGAGCGGAACUACUCGCAAAUCGACAAGGAGGGUCUGGCAAUCGUAAAGGGAGUAAAAAAAUUCCAUGAUUUCUUGUACGGGCGGCCCUUCACCGUGGUGACUGACCACAAGCCGUUGCUUGGCUUGUUUGCCCCGAAAGCAGACCCUCCAAGUGCUGUCUCCUCGCGUCCUCAGGUGGUCAAUUUUCCUUGCCAGCUACCAGUAUGCACUGAUUCACCGACCUGGGAAGGCGAUGGGCCAUGCGGACGCCCUCAGCAGGCUACCACUACCGGAAACAGGCCCUGACCCAGCACCUGCACAAGAGGUUAUGAGCCUGGAGCUGCUUCCCGACCGCCCCAUUCAGGCACAAGAAGUUGCACACCAUUCCAAGAAAGAUAGGGUCAUCUCCCGGGUCCUGGACUGGGUGUGGAGGGAUGGCCCAGCAGCAGCCCGGGCCAGAAUUCGCCGGCUACACAACCCGCAAACAUGAACUGUCGGCCCACAAGGGGUGCCUGUUAUGGGGAAGCAGAGUCGUUGUUCCCCAGCCCCUCCGCAAAAGGGUCCUCACAGCCCUACACGAGACACAUCCAGGGGUAGUAAGAAUGAAGGCCCUUGCCAGGAGUUAUGUGUGGUGGCCGGGGAUCGAUGGAGAGAUAGAGGCCUGGGUCAAACACUGCCAGGCCUGCCAAGAAUCCCGCCCAGAUCCCCCAAGGGCCCCAGUCCAGUCCUGGGAGUCCGCCCGAGCACCAUGGUCACGCCUGCAUGUGGAUUUCGCUGGCCCCUUUCAGGGGAAAACAUUCUUCAUAGUGGUGGACUCCUACACCAAAUGGCUGGAAGUCGCACUGGUACCGUCCACUUCCACGUCCGCAGCCAUCCGGGUACUACGCAGGCUGUUUGCAACCCAUGGGCUCCCUGACACUCUCGUCUCAGACAACGGGACUGCAUUUACGUCAGGAGAAUUCCAAACCUUCACAGCGCAGAACGCCAUCCGCCACAUCCGUUCGGCGCCGUUCCACCCUGCCACCAAUGGCCAAGCAGAACGCAUGGUGCGGACCACCAAGGACACCCUUCGCCGCAUGACGCAAGGGGACUGGGAGUACCGCCUUGCCACAUUCCUUCUAGCACAGCACAGCACCCCCAGCUCAACGACUGGCCGGAGCCCUGCUGAACUACUAAUGGGUCGGCGCCUUGCAAUCAGAUUGGACCGCCUUCACCCCGAUAGAGCUCAGGAUGAGGUAGUGGUGGGAGAAGGCAGGAACCCCCGGACCUUUGAGGCCCAGGACCCAGUGUACGCAAAGAAUUUUGGGGCAGGCCCAGCAUGGGUACCCGCCACAGUCACCAGGGUCACUGGCCCCGUGUCGUACGAGGUGCUAACGGAUGGGGGCAAUGCUGGCGCCGCCACUGCGACCAGAUACGGCGACGAUUCCCGGGAGAAAACCAGGAGGAGGACAGGUCAGAGGAGUCCCAAGGGAACAGCGGGGCAGUGAGGCCCAUAGAGCAGGAGGGGCCAGCAGGAGAGGCAGAAUCAGUAAAUACAGAGAGGACCCGUGAGGCCGAAAGGACACCGGAACCAGAACCACGACUGAGCGAGCCGGUUGCACCAGACCAAACAGCCCCAUCACAGCCAGCAUCCUUGGAACACGAGCCAGAACCUGGAGCCCGGACCAGGGAACACCCCAGGCCACAACGCACACGUAGGCCGCCGGCGUACCUUGAGGACUAUGAAUGCGACCUCCCGGGCAGGACUGGACCUUAGAGGGGAGGGUGUUAUGUACUGAGUUGAAUAGGAUCCAAACUGCAGCAGUCUGAUUGGUCCUAGAACAAUAGGAUCCAAAAGGCAGCAGUCUGAUUGGUCCUAGAACAAUAGGAUUCAGAAUGCAGCAGUCUGAUUGGUCCUAGAACAAUGCAGCAGUAUGAUUGGUUGGCAGGAACCACCCAAUCCUGCUCCAGAUAGAAGUGAAUCCACAACCUGAUUGGCUUACAGUAGAAUUCCAGAAUUAGCCAAUCAUGUGCAGCCCAUUGUGUAAAUAAUGUAUAUAAAGCAGAUACUGUGAGGGGACAUUCAUUCAUUCCUCCUCACCACUAUGAGCUGAAUAAAGAGCAUGAAAUCACGUUGCGACUCUGAGUAUAUUUCAGCGGGUGCCACUACCGAGAAGGCCCUCUGCCUGGUUCCCUGUAACCUCACUUCUCACAGUGAGGGAACCGCCAGAAGGCCCUCGGAGCUGGACCUCAGUGUCCGGGCUGGAUGAUGGGGGUGGAGACACUCCUUCAGGUACGCUAGUAAAGAUAAAGGUAAAGGGACCACUGACCACUAGGUCCAGUUGUGACCAACUCCGGGGUUGUGGCACUCAUCUCACUUUACUGGCCGAGGGAGCCAGCGUACAGCUUUCGGGUCAUGUGGCCAGCAUGACUAAGCCGCUUCUGGAGAACCAGAGCAGUGCACGGAAACGCUAUUUACCUUCCUGACGGAGCGGUACCUAUUUAUCUACUUGCACUUUGACGUGCUUUCGAACUGCUAGGUUGGCAGGAGCAGGGACCGAGCAAUGGGAGCCAAUGUAGGUCUUUCAGGACCAGUGUUAUGUGGUCUUGGCAGCCAUUCCCAGUCACCAGUCUAGCUGCUGCAUUCUGGAUUAGUUGUAGUUUCCAGGUCACCUUGAAAGGUAGCCCCACGUAGAGCACAUUGCAGUAGUCCAAGUGGGAGAUACCUAGAGCAUGCACCACAGUGGCUAUGCUGUAACUCCAUGGUAAGCGAGGCAGUAAUGCUUCUGAAUACUAGUUGCUGGAAGUCACAGGAGGUGAGAGUGCUGUUGUGCUCAGGUUUUGCCAAAGGGUUUCUUACUGGCAUCUGGUUGGCCACUGUGAGAACUGGAUGCUGGACUAGGUGGGACACUGCCCUGAUUCAGCAGCCUCCUCUUAUGUUGUUUCCCAGGAAGGGAACACAUGCAUUGACAAAGGGGGAAAUUUGGGAGACGUACAAUGUUGUUGUGGAUGCCUUUCCUCCUCCCCAAAUGAGUGCUCAGGUUAUUACCAUUACGCAGAAAAUGUCUGUUGUGCCCUAAAUCGAAGGCUGCCGGGUUUCUAAAACAGAGUUACUGUAUUUGCACACUGUGGAAUCAUUCUCUGUGUGUGUGUUUUAAGCUUGCUUAGGAAAUUGUUGUUAAGAAAUAUGUCUCUUUGGCGGAAUGUAAUUAGCAUCGCUUUCUUCCUGCUAUGAGCUAUAAUUCUGUGAGUAACUGGAAGCAAAAAAAAUUUUGAGGUUAUUCUGAGCCAUGGUUUAUGCAUUUCAAAUAAUUUGUAAAGUUAGAUUUGUAGCAGUAGAUGAAGAAGGGGGUGUGCGGAAAAGCCCAGCAGACGUCUCUUUCACUUCCUGUUUAAGUCCGUGGUCUGGGGAGGAGUGCCACAGCCUCUAAUGACAGUUGGUUCACUGGAAGAAAUUGGUUUCUUCCACAAUCUAUAAAUGUAAUUUUAGGGAGAUUAAACAGAGCAUCACAACAUGCAUAGACUUUUGUUCUGCAAUCUUUGGCUUGACAUGAACUGGGUAACUCAGAUUCUGAUCAUGAGUAAUUUGUGAUGCUUGUACCAAUAACUUCAUUUAUUCAGAAACACUUUAAUAUUAUUAUUCAAGCUUUUUUUUUUCAGCUGGGACUCAACAGAACUCAGUUCUAGCACCUCUCAGAUGAGUGCCAUUGCCAUUACAGUCGUACCUUGGAAGCCAAAUAAAUCGGCUCUCAAACAAUUGAAACCUGGAAGUGAGUGUUCCAGUUUUCGAAUGAUUACCGGAAUCCAAACGUCUGGUGCGGCUUCCGAUUGGCUGCAGGACACUCGUGCAGCCAAUCAGAAGCCACACUUUGGUUUUCGAAUGUUUCCGGAAGUCGAACGGACUCCCGGAAUGUGUUCUGUUCAAAAACCAAGGUACCACUAUAUAAGAGAACAAGGGAGGUGUUUGUGGUGACUUCCAGCACCUCUUUUCCCAGAAAAAUAGCACCGUUUAUUAUUAUUUUAUUUAUUAAAUUUGUAUACUGCCCUCCCUCCGUAGAUCUCAGGGCAGUUCACAACGCCAAAAUAAAAGAGUUAAAAAACAACAACACAAAAUACGGAAUAGAACAAGAACAAAAACCAACCAUUAACCCCCCUACCACAACACAUUUAAAAGGGUAUUGGAUGUAAUGAGCCAAAGGCUUGGUUUUCACCUGCGCCACUGUCAAAGGUGGGAACACAUGCAACUGAGACUUGCUGAGGCUCAUUCUCGUUUAGUGGUUUAGUGUUGUGUCCAAAUGCUGCCCAUCUCCUUUGUCUUCCUUCCCCUCUCCCUUUUUGUCACAAAAAAGCCGGUCAAUACACUUAACUGGUUUAUUAGCAGGGUUGUACAUGAUGUCCUGACAGAGUUCCUAACAAGGCUUGACACAGAGUUUCUCCAAGCCAUAGCAAGGGAGGGUACGUGCUAGGAGGAAGGCAAGCUUGGCAAAUCCACACUGUGAUCAACUCCCGCCCGGAAACCAAUGUCCCCACUGUGGAAGGACGUGUGGGUUCCACAAUUUGCCUCCACAGUCAGUUACGGACUCAUUGUUAAAACCGUGUUUAUGGAAGACAAUCUUACUUUGCUACAAGUGAUCGCCACAGAAGAAGAAGAAGCAAGGGGGCAAAUGCACAGUUAAUUCACUGUGUCUAAAUAUAGUGCAGAGAGCCAGGGCAGAAAUGUGAGUCAAUGAAGUGAGAGGUACCUAAGAUUUGUUUCAGAUCAUGAUGAGUUUUGAGGAAUUAAGCUGUUGGCUUUUAAGAGAAGGUGGGUUUUUGAAGGAAAGGAGAAGUGAAGAGUAAUUAUUCUGGAAACAAGUCCCGACACUGGUGGAGGAGGAGGCGUGCGGGGGGAGCGUACCGCCCCUGGCAAUGUGAUCCUGGUGGGGUGCCAUUGUGGCUGUGCCCCCGCCCGCGCAGGGCGCCAGCCCCUAAGGGCGGUGCACCACACCCCCAGGACACAUUCCAGCCCUGCCCCCGCCUGCUCUCUGCCCCCCCUCCGGUGCCAGAGCGUGAAGCUCCGCCACGGAGUCCCAACUACUUAUGUGGAUUCACUGACUGUACCCAGUAUCAGGUUUUUGAAGCAGGAAUGUCAUAUGUUUUCAGCCUGGGCUCCAGAUUUGUGUACUAAACCUACCUUAGACUAUCUGUGUUUAGACCUCAGAGCCCUCGUCCGGCACAGAAAGGAUGGUGUGCAAUGCCUAGCAACGAUCUAAUGAAAAUGACUAAUAAAUACAGCAGCUGCCUUAGAACAAUAGAAUCUUAGAAAUCUAGAGUUGGAAGGGACUCCAAGGAUCAUCUAUUGCAAGCUCCUGCAACCACAGGUGAACAUGCUGACAAAUUGACAUCUUGUGGCAAAGAGCUUUGUGGACCAAACAGCUUUGUUGCAUCUAUACUAUGCAACAACCACACAACUAACAAGCCUAAUUAUUGGUUCUUGCUGGAUUCAUGGUGUCAGAAACUGGAGUGUGUGGGUCUACAUUUUCUAUUUGCCACAGGGUUCAACUUCUAUGACUACUGUGCCUCUGUGAAUGUGAGUUGCUGAGGAACAACAGCAAGAGAUGGCUGUUGACCUUGGGUUGUGUUAGCAGACUUCCCAAGGGGCAUCAGGCUGGCCACUGUGAAAACAGGAUGAUAGAUGGGCCUUUGGUCUGAUUCUUAUGUAAACCCAUUGUGCGAAUUAGACAAAAAGAUUCCAUGUGACUUGAAUGCUUCCAAGUUGGUCUAAUAAAAAACCGCAAAUGUCUUUGUUGUUGUUUUUAAUCCUCUAGGUCUAAGAGGAAUGAGGUAGCCCCUUCCUCCACCCAAACCACAGCCCAGAUUUCAUUUUUGAAAACACAUUCCUUGCCAUCUUUUUGGAUCAAAACACUAGAAUAGCGCAUCCAAUGGUAAUUUCCCUUCUAAAACCAUUGUCCAAGGCAUCUUGGCAAUCUGGCUCCCAAGUUGCUACACCCUGCUAUUGAAUCAAAUGCCAAGGUCGGUGCCCUGCUUUUGAUUUAUAUAGCCCAAGUUCUUGGCACCACCACGAUUUUCUCCGCACCUCCUUGACUCCAUAUAGUUAAGAACUAGAUUUUGCCAGCUAGGCAGCUGCUGCAUAUUCCAUCACAAUGACUGCAUUGAAGGCAUCACACCAGCUAAAGAAGAUGAUAUAGCCAAUUGCACAUUUAAUAGCAAUUGUGUAGCAUAUUUUGCAUGUAACAGCGCAUGCCAAAAAUGUAGCUGGCAGACAAGUUGCACAUUUUCCCUCAGCAACUAAUAAAAAAUGAAUGCAACCUUGUUUCAAUUGGCCACAAAUAGCAAAACAUCGAGAUAAUAAGAAUGUAAUUAAUCCAUACCACAAAAUCACUUUUGAGGACCCAAACACACCCAUAAUUAAAAAUGCCUCUCCCAAAUCUCUCUUUCUUCCUUACUACACUAAUUAGUUCCAUCAGAGUCAAUAACUGGUUUAGCACUGUACUUCACAAGCCCUGAGGUUCCUUGUGGAUUUAUUGGAUGCCAAGAAACUAUUAAGAGCUAUCAGGGUUUUUAAAGUCCACAAGCUUAUAAUGGAAGCAUGCCACAAGUCUCAGCUGGUAGCUGCUGUCUCUGUCAAUGCUGGUGUGGUUUAUUAAACCAUACUCAAGACCAGCUGAUGGUGCAAUGUAUUAACAAGGUGGAAAGCAAGAUGAGAUGCAGACAGGGCUGUAAUCUGAACCCCUGGAUGGGCUAGAGGCCUUGGGUGGUCAACCUGGAUGACCUCCAAGCUUUCAAGGCCCAGACUAACCACAUGUAAACAGAGAACAAGCAGACGUCUGUGCAACAUUGUGAAAUGUUCCUCACCUGUGUCUGCAGCUUGUCUUUCUGUAUGCACCACUACUAAACCACCUUCAACUUAAGCACCUUUAAGAUGAGGUCUGUCAACAUAAUCCUUCUCCAUCAUCCUGAACUCAAUCCCACCGUACACUGGACCUCUUUAUUUGAAGGCUGUUCCAAACAUGGCUUAAUUUUUAUUUAUUGUAUUGAUUUCUCAUGUUUUCCUCCAAGGAGCACAAGACAGCACACAUGGUCUCCCCUCAUUCAACCCUACUUAACAACCCUAAGACCCUACAUAACAUCUUCCAGCCUUGGUUAUUCAGUGUAUGCAAGCUGAUUCUCAAAUGUUUAGUACUAGAGCAAAGUUGGGGUCUGAUUUCCAGAUUUGGGAUGUACGUUCUCAUGUUAGGCCUUGAUGUUAAUUAUUAUUGCAUUUAUUUGCAUACAUUUAUCUGGUGCCUGCUUCUUGGGAGAAAAGCAAUGACAAACCUAGACAGCAUCUUAAAAAGUAGAGACAUCACCUUGCCAACAAAGGUCCAUAUAGUAAAAGCUAUGGUUUUCCCUGUAGUGAUGUAUGGCAGUGAAAGCUGGACCAUAAAGAAGGCUGAUCGCUGAAGAAUUGAUGCUUUUGAAUUAUGGUGUUGGAGGAGACUCUUGAGAGUUCCAUGGACUGCAAGAAGAUCAAACCUAUCCAUUCUUUGGAUGGCCCCGGCCCCCGGCCCCCGGCCUCUUGAGAGAGAUGGGCGCGCAACCCUAGAGUCGGUCACGACUGGCCCGUACGGGCAGGGGUACCUUUACCUUUUUAAGGGGGCGACUGUCCCAGACCACACACUUUGAGGGGACGCUGCCUUAAUGUGGCAUCAAUGACAGUAACCCUGGUGGGCAGCUAACAGCUGGCUAACAGCAAGGUUGGACCUGCACCCUCACCUGGGGCCCUACUUCCCUGCACCUGUAUUCAAAACCCAGCUAGAGAUGCCACAGGGCUGAGAGAAAGGUCAGAGACCGGAGGAAGGGAGAAAACAGAGCGUGCCUGGGACUGAUUAGCUCUUCAGAAUUUAAAAUGUUUUCUGCUAGUUAAUCUCGAUGAGGAUCUGUAUGCCUAUUGUUUAAAAUAAAACCGAAAGAGACCUGCAUAAUGGGAACCCUGUUUGCUUUAGAUUGCAAGGAAGACUUUUUGUUCACUGAUCUAAGAAGUUAAGGAUUUAACAUCUUUGCAGGAUUGCUGUGUAUCAUGUGUUCUUCAACCUGAUCUGAGUUUGCAGAAGGUAUACAUCUUUCUCAGCUAAGACCCCCCCCUUUUUUCUGCCCCUUUGGCUCAUCAGUUGUUCACCUGAUCUGGAUACAGCCGGUUUGUCUUUUCUUAGAUCUCUCAUUGAUCCAGGUUUAGGGGGAAGAAGAAUGGAAAAAACAGUCCUUCCCACAUAUAGCCCGGAUUGGGUUGGAACAAUCCAAUCUGAUCAGCAAGCAGAGCCUUAAACAAAUCUGCUCUAAUUAACCUUAUCUCAGCAAUCUCUGAGUCUCAUAAAUGCCAGCGAGAUCACCCUCUUGCACGAAGCAGCCUCAUUCUACCAACAUCAAUGGAGCCAUGUGGAUUUUCACUAGCCCCGUGCUGGCUGGUUCACUGAAAGGAAAAGCACAAAACCUUCCUUCAAUAGACAAUGGGAGCAGAGGGCUUGGGUUAAGGGGAAAAGGAAGACCCUGCUGUCUUUUUUCUAUCUGCUGCAGAGCAAAAACUUGCUAGCAUUUUAUCCCCGAAUCAUUGCACGCCAGUCUGCUUUGCUUAUGGAUUUGGGUCAGGGAGAAAACAGAAUUGCCAUAUUUUAAAAAGUGAAGCUUGUUGAUUAUUAUUUUUUUGGUCAGAGUUGUUGAGCAUUUUAAUUUUUUUGCAAAAGUCAUCAUACGUUGCCAUACAGACUUUUAACACAUACCGGAAAUUCCCCCCAAGACAAAACCCUAGGACAAAAGCAAAGCAGUUGGGUGAAUGAUAGCCAGCUUGCAUGAUUGCAGGAAGGGGCAAUGGAGGAUCAGCUGCCUGUGACACAUGCCAAAGUAUUGUGCAAAGAGAUAUGCAAGAUGGAUGCUGUGGCUUGAACUGAGGACCAAAUGGCCUGGCCCUGUCUAGUGUGAUAUUUGGGCCUCAGCCAAUAGAACUUUCUUAACAACCAUGGUCUAAUGGGAUACCUGAAGUAGUUGCUGGUUAAAUUUACUUUUGCUGUAUUUUAGAGUUAAUGUUCACGCACAGGAGUGCAGUACUCUAUGAUAAAACAACCACGUGAUAUUCUACCAGAACCUUAUUGUGAAGGACAGGUAAGAAUAAAUAAAUACUAGUAGGUCUUGCACAACAUGGAGAAUCUGAGGAUGUUCAGAAAUUCUUUGUCUUGGAUCUGUGACUUUUAAUGACUAUCCAUAAAUUGCAUACAUUGGGAAGAUUAUAUUGCCUAAAGUAUCUAAAUUGAUGUACCUUUGAAGACUGCAACCUUCUAAACAUCCAACUUGUUUGUCAGCAAAUUAUUUUCUAGAAAACAUCUCUGUAGACCACACCAAUAAUGUUCUUUCUCCAGAAAUCCUGGAGAUAUAUAUUUUUUAAGACUCUUUUUUAUUAAGCUCCUCUGAAAGCACUGGAGCAGUCAUGGGUUUCGUGGUUUCUUGCAUGGUUUCGCUUUGGGAGGCAGCAAAUAAAAAGCUUAAUAAGAGAAAUCGUGUUUUUCCAGACUCCAGCUGGUGAAGCGCAGCAUGUAACUAGCUUAAUUUGUAAGUGGCUUUGACUCAUAUGUUCCAAAGUCUUGCAGUUAAACGCUAGACGUUAUGUGGACGUCACAAGUAAAUUUAUUGCUAAUGGAAAUAAAGGAGAGAUUGAGAGAAGUCUUGUGACUGAAGAUACUAUGCAAGCUUUUCAUAGUGAUAGCUGCUGAGUUGGCAUCUGGCAAAUCAUAGCUUGCCAUAAUCAAUAAAGUAUUAAAAUUGUAUUUUAAAAAACAGAGCCCCCAAGAGAACAAAUUGUGGCCACUCAAGCAUUAAGCAUUACUCUAUCUCCUCUCAGACCACGUUGCCUAUUGCAACCUGUGAUUCCAUAUCCAUUGUCAUGGAUGAAGGCAGUCCAGUCGUGGCCAAUUCUGGGGUUGCGGCGCUUAUCUUGCUUUAUUGGCCGAGGGAGCCGGCGUACAGCUUUCGGGUCAUGUGGCCAGCAUGACUAAGCCACUGCUGCCGAACUAGAGCAGCGCAUGAAAACGCCAUUUACCUUCCCACUGGAGCGGUACCUAUUUAUCUACUUUCACUUUGAGGUGCUUUCGAACUGCUAGGUUGGCAGGAGCAGGGACCGAGCAACGGGAGCUCACCCCAUCAUGUGGAUUCGAACCGCCGACCUUCUGAUUGGCAAGUCCUAGGCUCUGUGGUUUAACCCACAGUGCCACCCGCAUCCCAAGAGUCAUGCUGGAUCAGAUCAAAGGCCUGCACAGCAUCCUGUUCUCACAGUGGCCAACCAGAUGCACAGAGGAAGCCUGCAUUGAGUGCAGCACCACUUUCCUCACUUGUGAUUUCCAGCAACUGGUACUGAAUACCAGUGUGCUGCCUCCAACAGUGGAGGCAGAUUAUAAUGUGAUAGGAAUUUUAUGGUUUUAGAUAUAUGGCAACGUUCAUAACUACACGUACAUAGAUCAGCACAGGAAAGCCAACCUGGAACCAUUUUGAUUCCUAAACUGAGCAAAUGUUUCUCUGCAUGGUAAAAAUGGAAAAGCCUCCCCAUUGUCUCUUCCUUCACAAAUCCUGUCUUAAUCUGUGUUUGAAUAAGGGUGUGAGCCUUAUCAUUACAAAAGACUGCCAAGGCUCCCCAAGAAAUCCAAUCAAGUAACCUGCCAGACAGGAAAUAAACAAAGCGACAGGAGAAAACAACAUGCAAAUGUUCUGUUUUAGACCGCCUUAUCUGAGGGGUGGUCUUAGGUUACACCCCUUCUGUGAUGAAUGCAUAAUGUUUCUGGGGGUGGUCUUGAUCUAGAGGAUGGGAAUUUCAAAAGUCUUUAUAAGCCCUUGCAUAGCAUUUUUGGGGGCCUCCUCCUUUCCUGUGUGUGAGUGAGGACCCUGUUGCAACAGAUCAAUAAAGAUCAAGCUUACUAGCUGCUUUGCUUCUCAAUAUUCUCUGGUUGGCCUCUGUUAUUUUCUCCUACCAAUAGGGAACCUAUGUAAGGACUCUAUAUGGGCUCUUGGAUACCCCAUAAGGGAAAAGGGCAUAUUUUUAUUUACAACAAUAGCCAUCACCUCACCACCACCCCAGCCACAAAGUACCCCCACACUGAUUUCUUGCCUUCAUUUCUUGUUUAAUAUUGUAUUAAUAUGUUGGUUCAAUUAUAAUUUCCCUUGAGCAUAUUUUUUUAUAAUGGAAAGGCAGGAUAAAAAUCCUCUACUAAACAAUAGUAACGAUAUGAAGCCAUAAUUUUUAAACAUAUUUUGCAGUCAUUUAUCUCCUUAAAGCGAUUUGAGGUAUAGUAUAGGAGUUUCCAAAGUGGUUUACAAAUGUCUGAAAUGGUAGAGUUUCCGCAAAGGUAAAUACAGUAACAACAGAACGUUGCAACAGGAGACCAUAAUGCUAAGUUAGAGAAAGCCAGCCAUUGAAUGAACUAAAGAAAAUCUUCACCUGAUGCCAAAAAAACUAAUACUGUUAUGGUUGAAUAGGGGAAUUAUAUAAACAGCAAAGUCCAAAGGGAAUUAAAUUCAAGAGGGUACAGACUGCAUUAACUACUUUGAUAUCAAUGACUAUUCAUAAAAUACAAUUGUGUUGAUAACACAGAUAUCCAGGUAUUGUUAAACCAGGAUGUCUUUGGUGUACUAUUCUUCAUUUCAGUUUGUUUUUACCCUUACUGUUUAAAAUCCUCCCAUUCCCGCUGUGUGUGUGUGUGUGUGCCAAACAUUUCAUGAGUCUAAUGAAGAAAUCUGUACUCCAUGAAAGCCUGUGACAUAAUAGAUUGGUUAGUUUUUGAGACCUCAUUGCAACCCUCUUUGUGGACUUCAUAGCCAUUCCUCCUAUAUUCAUAUUAACUGGACAGCAAUUUCCAGUUUUUCAAUUGGUCUUUCCAUACAGGCAUAUGUUACAGAUACACUAUUUCCAUUUCCUUGGGCCCCUUUGGAAGGAAGGGUGGGAUAUAAAUUGAAUAAGCAACUAAAUAAAUAUUGGGCCCAAAUCAUCAUAUGUUCCUUCACUUGUUUAAACUCCCAUUCAAAUUUUAAAGAUGAUUUUGUAAUGAUAAAAUGAGAUGUUAAAUGAAAUUGUUUUUGUCCUGCAAUGAAUUCCUAGGACUUGGUUGAUGUUCUUAAAGAUAUGUUGCCUCUCAAAAAAGAGAAGAAGAGGACAGCUUUGUUAAAGCUCAAAUAUAAUUAUGUCAUUUAUUAGAUUUAUAUAGCGCCCUGCAUCGUAAGAUCUCAGGGUGGUUCACAGAAUAAACUUCAGGCUAAAAGCCUGGUUGGAUUCAUUCCAUUUACCUUGUUCUUACUUUCACUGUAACGUAGAAUAUUUUAAGGCACAGUUAAGGCUGUUUCCUUUUACCUGCGAGCAAGUCCUCUUGAACUCAAAUGUGGCCCUCCAGGCCUUUAUCUGGCCCUCAGAAUUCUCCCUAGACUGUGCCCCACCCCAAGGCCCCAUCCCUCCCCAACAUGCACCACACCUACAUUGUGCUUUUGCACAGGUGAAAUGUGUCCUUUGAGCUGUGAUAAUACCUCUUGCUGGAUGAAAGAUGGAGAGAUAGGUGUGUGUGUGUGUGUAGACCUUAGACUUCUGUACAAAAGGUAAAAAAGAAUACCCUUUGCUCUUCCAACUUUCUUCUCACCCCAUUCACCUCUGGCAUGUGACACUUGCCUUCCACUCAAAGAAGGUUAUUCAUGAGGGAAUAGCUCUAGAGCUGCUGUUUUAACUUCCCCUGAUUCCCCUGCUGUAGUGUUGCUCCAGGCCAUUGUGGGAAAUUAAAAUGGCGGCUCUUGGACCCAGCCUCCUGUCUGCUUCUGCUAGGUUCCUGGACAUGCCCACAUUGGAGAGGGG
rnacentral:lncRNA from 1 species